rnacentral:rRNA from 1 species
UACGUAGGGGGCUAGCGUUAUCCGGAAUUACUGGGCGUAAAGGGUGCGUAGGUGGUUUCUUAAGUCAGAGGUGAAAGGCUACGGCUCAACCGUAGUAAGCCUUUGAAACUGGGAAACUUGAGUGCAGGAGAGGAGAGUGGAAUUCCUAGUGUAGCGGUGAAAUGCGUAGAUAUUAGGAGGAACACCAGUUGCGAAGGCGGCUCUCUGGACUGUAACUGACACUGAGGCACGAAAGCGUGGGGAGUAAACAGGAUUAGAUACCCCGGUAGUCCCUGAGCGGGCUGG